rnacentral:rRNA from 1 species
AUUGAACGCUGGCGGCAUGCUUUACAGAUGCAAGUCGAACGGUAACAGGCCGCAAGGUGCUGACGAGUGGCGAACGGGUGAGUAAUGCAUCGGAACGUGCCCAGUCGUGGGGGAUAACGCAGCGAAAGCUGUGCUAAUACCGCAUACGAUCUGUGGAUGAAAGCGGGGGACCGAAAGGCCUCGCGUGAUUGGAGCGGCCGAUGUCAGAUUAGGUAGUUGGUGGGGUAAAGGCUCACCAAGCCAACGAUCUGUAGCUGGUCUGAGAGGACGACCAGCCACACUGGGACUGAGACACGGCCCAGACUCCUACGGGAGGCAGCAGUGGGGAAUUUUGGACAAUGGGCGCAAGCCUGAUCCAGCAAUGCCGCGUGCAGGAAGAAGGCCUUCGGGUUGUAAACUGCUUUUGUACGGAGCGAGAAGGCUCUCUCUAAUACAGGGGGCUCAUGACGGUACCGUAAGAAUAAGCACCGGCUAACUACGUGCCAGCCGCCGCGGUAACAC